UACGAAGGGGGCUAGCGUUGCUCGGAAUUACUGGGCGUAAAGCGCACGUGGGCGGCUCUUUAAGUCGGGGGUGAAAUCCUGGAGCUCAACUCCAGAACUGCCUUCGAUACUGUAGAGCUUGAGUUCGGGAGAGGUGAGUGGAACUGCGAGUGUAGAGGUGAAAUUCGUAGAUAUUCGCAAGAACACCAGUGGCGAAGGCGGCUCACUGGCCCGAUACUGACGCUGAGGUGCGAAAGCGUGGGGAGCAAACAGG
rnacentral:rRNA from 1 species